CCUACGGGAGGCUGCAGUGGGGAAUAUUGGACAAUGGGGGGAACCCUGAUCCAGCCAUGCCGCGUGUGUGAAGAAGGCCCUCGGGUUGUAAAGCACUUUCAGUGAGGAAGAACGCCUGGUGGUUAAUACCCAUCAGGAAAGACAUCACUCACAGAAGAAGCACCGGCUAACUCCGUGCCAGCAGCCGCGGUAAUACGGAGGGUGCGAGCGUUAAUCGGAAUUACUGGGCGUAAAGCGCGCGUAGGUGGCUUGAUAAGCCGGUUGUGAAAGCCCCGGGCUCAACCUGGGAACGGCAUCCGGAACUGUCAAGCUAGAGUGCAGGAGAGGAAGGUAGAAUUCCCGGUGUAGCGGUGAAAUGCGUAGAGAGCGGGAGGAAUACCAGUGGCGAAGGUGGCCUUCUGGACUGACACUGACACUGAGGUGCGAAAGCGUGGGUAGCAAACAGGAUUAGAUACCCCUGUAGUC
rnacentral:rRNA from 1 species